rnacentral:tRNA from 1 species
CCCCUUGUAGCUCAACCGCCAGAGCAGCUGCGUUGUCAGCAGCCGAUCCAGGUUCAACUCCUCGGCAGGGGCA